CCAACUCUACCCAAACUCGUGUGAUCAAAUCAUAAUUAUAAUAAUUAUUCUUUUAUUAGAGAAAUCAUAAUAAUUAUUCUAACUUUGCAAUUUAGGCCAUGUAUCUCUGUAUAAUUUCAUAUAUGCAAAUUUUACAGAUUCGUCCACAAUAUUUUAGUGGCAGAAAUCAUUUGCUUAAAUAUAGUUUCUUCGUUAGUCUGAUGGUUUGUUUUUGGCUAAACCAUGUUCACAUAUUUCGGAAAUCAUUACGUGCACUCUUCUUCGUAUGCCAAAUUAACCCACCUUCAAUCGCAAGACAAAAUUGUGACAAAGAAAGAACUUACAUAACGACAAAUUCUUGUCUUCUGACUCCUCGUGCCAAAUUUCUCUCUUUCUUGGCGUUUAAAGAAACCCAGAAGCAACCCAACUUCUUAUUUUUGCUUGUGGGAAUUAAUCGCUGAAUAAAGAAGUAUCUCGAUUAUUUUAUAAUUGAUAAUUUUCUGUUAUUUCUCCUGGAAGCUGGGAGGUUCGGUUAGUGACGUCUCUACUUAAAGGUAUUCAGUGAUAAAGAUUUUCUUGAUUUUUUUGCUGUUUCGUUGUUCAUGUUAGAAAUAGCUUUAAAGUUGUUGAAGUUCGAAUUUUGGGAAUUUUCUUUUGUUUUCCGAUCACGAUUUGUGGGAAGAGUUUGUGGGCAAGUGAUAAUUUUCUCUUUUUUCAUAUGAAAUUGAGAUCUUGUAUUAUGCAUAUGAAACUGGCUGCGAGAAUUGACUGUAAGUGUUGUAGAGAAG
rnacentral:lncRNA from 1 species